rnacentral:lncRNA from 10 species
GGACCCAAGCGUUUUUUGACUGCAUCACUCUGGUUUCCUAGCUGGACUUCAGGAUUCCAGAUGACCUUCUCCAGCCCAUCCUCUAAGAUGAGGAACCAAAGUUCAAGGAGGUUCAACGUCUUACAGAUUUGGUGGUGCACUUGCUCUUCCCACUGCCCAGUGAAGCGCUACUCGAUCAUACUAGACACAAUGUGGUUGGUCUAUGGGAGGGAGUAUCAGGAAGCAUGAGGAGCCCACACUUCUACAAAGAGUCGAGAUGCCUUCACAAAGAUGCCUCAUGCUGCAAGGUCGUGAAUGCCAAGUGCUCUAGUGUUUCAGAGGUGGAGGAGAUCCCUACAGAUGAGGCACCAGGAAAAGCUUCAAGGUGGAGGCCGGUCUGAGUCUGGCCUCAAAGGAUGAAAUGAUUCAGAUAAACAGCAAAACAAAGCAACAGGAAGGGAGAGAUAACAACAAAGGCAGAGAUGUAGGAGUGAGCAAGGGAGACUGAAUGAGCAGUCCCUGGGACAGAAGGUGGUUUGUGAGGCUGGAAGAGGAGUUGAAACUUGUUUGUAAUUAUUGUGUGGUGUAUUUGCAUUUCUAAUUGCGCUGAGGGACACUGAAGGCCAAGCUUCCAGUCUCUGGGCUGUCUUUCACCUGCGCCGCGGUGCUGAGUUGUUGGCGGCGGCGGCAGCGUCUUUUCUCCAAGCAGCACCUGUGAGAGCAGCAGCUCCAGCUGGAGUCCCAAGACUUCCAAUCAACAUAGAGAGCCACAGGGCCUGUGCCUGCGUGGGUUUGCUGUAAGGAGCCUGUAACGCAUCGAGGAGCCCAGCGCCCAACCCCAC